CGAACUCUGGUAUUGAUUGGUGCUUGCAUCAUGAUUUACAUUUGAGUGAGUGGCGAACUGGUGAGUAACACGUGGGAAACCUGCCCAGAAGCGGGGGAUAACACCUGGAAACAGAUGCUAAUACCGCAUAACAACUUGGACCGCAUGGUCCGAGUUUGAAAGAUGGCUUCGGCUAUCACUUUUGGAUGGUCCCGCGGCGUAUUAGCUAGAUGGUGGGGUAACGGCUCACCAUGGCAAUGAUACGUAGCCGACCUGAGAGGGUAAUCGGCCACAUUGGGACUGAGACACGGCCCAAACUCCUACGGGAGGCAGCAGUAGGGAAUCUUCCACAAUGGACGAAAGUCUGAUGGAGCAACGCCGCGUGAGUGAAGAAGGGUUUCGGCUCGUAAAACUCUGUUGUUAAAGAAGAACAUAUCUGAGAGUAACUGUUCAGGUAUUGACGGUAUUUAACCAGAAAGCCACGGCUAACUACGUGCCAGCAGCCGCGGUAAUACGUAGGUGGCAAGCGUUGUCCGGAUUUAUUGGGCGUAAAGCGAGCGCAGGCGGUUUUUUAAGUCUGAUGUGAAAGCCUUCGGCUCAACCGAAGAAGUGCAUCGGAAACUGGGAAACUUGAGUGCAGAAGAGGACAGUGGAACUCCAUGUGUAGCGGUGAAAUGCGUAGAUAUAUGGAAGAACACCAGUGGCGAAGGCGGCUGUCUGGUCUGUAACUGACGCUGAGGCUCGAAAGUAUGGGUAGCAAACAGGAUUAGAUACCCUGGUAGUCCAUACCGUAAACGAUGAAUGCUAAGUGUUGGAGGGUUUCCGCCCUUCAGUGCUGCAGCUAACGCAUUAAGCAUUCCGCCUGGGGAGUACGGCCGCAAGGCUGAAACUCAAAGGAAUUGACGGGGGCCCGCACAAGCGGUGGAGCAUGUGGUUUAAUUCGAAGCUACGCGAAGAACCUUACCAGGUCUUGACAUACUAUGCAAAUCUAAGAGAUUAGACGUUCCCUUCGGGGACAUGGAUACAGGUGGUGCAUGGUUGUCGUCAGCUCGUGUCGUGAGAUGUUGGGUUAAGUCCCGCAACGAGCGCAACCCUUAUUAUCAGUUGCCAGCAUUAAGUUGGGCACUCUGGUGAGACUGCCGGUGACAAACCGGAGGAAGGUGGGGAUGACGUCAAAUCAUCAUGCCCCUUAUGACCUGGGCUACACACGUGCUACAAUGGAUGGUACAACGAGUUGCGAACUCGCGAGAGUAAGCUAAUCUCUUAAAGCCAUUCUCAGUUCGGAUUGUAGGCUGCAACUCGCCUACAUGAAGUCGGAAUCGCUAGUAAUCGCGGAUCAGCAUGCCGCGGUGAAUACGUUCCCGGGCCUUGUACACACCGCCCGUCACACCAUGAGAGUUUGUAACACCC
rnacentral:rRNA from 1 species